CGCCGCUUAAUUACCUUGGUCGCGGGCCCCAGAGGGGGAGCCUCCAGCGCGUCGCCCCCUCUCGGAGCCCUCGCCGAGAGGGGGAAUUCCUUUCCGUUGACGUCCUCUUCCGAAAUGCAAAAGAUCAGUGACUUUGACAGCUGCAGGACGAUUUCCUGAUUCCUGGGGAUCAGAACCAGCGGCCGGGCGGUUCUACCCCGCUUGGCACAGCUUUCAUUUUAUUUCAGAUGAAGACGUUGAGCUUAGUCAGAAGGGACAUAAAUCAGGACAAUUAGCAUUGGCGCCAAGAAGAUCCUCUAGUAACAAUUUCGCCCGGGCUUCCUUCGCGCAUUCCUCCACUCAAGUCAGAAAUGUCACUGCACAUAGCGUUGAUGGCUGUGAGACGCGACGCACCCAAAGUCCAUUUGAUGAAAUAUACAUGGCCCACGACGCUUCUGGAUUGCGGUUCCCGGGCUCCCCGCCCCCGCCCGCGGCGCCUGGCCGGAGCGGCUCCGAGCGGGCAGCAAGCUCUCAGCAAACUUAGGGGUGCGUGCAAAUUAAAGAGUGAGCGUGAGGGCCGGUGAAGAGAGAGAGAAAGAAGCGAGCCCCGGGAAGCCGCAGCCCUCAGAGGGGUGGCUCGAACGUUUCACUUAAAAGCAGAUCUUCUGCAACUGCCAGCAAGUGGAAGGAUUGCAAACCUUACGCUACCUCGAGACCUGGGCGCUCCGAGCGGUCCUAACUCCGUCCCGCUCGCUGUUGCUGCGGCUGCUCCCGCCGCCCGUGCCGCCGCUCCACGACCUCCCAGCGCUGAGGCUCUGAGACCACCCUUCACCUCCCCACCCCCAGCUCGCCCACGGAAGCGCCCUUGCCAGUAACUCUUCACGUACCAUCCACUCGAGCCCCCGCCCGUCCCAUCCCUCGCUGCUCCUUCUCCUCCCCCAAACCGUUCCUUAAGCGCACCCCUCGCCCCUAGCAGGGAUCCCUACUGAGCUUUUCAACCAACAAUCCCCAGGCCCUGCCAGCGGCCCCUAGAGCGCCAGCCUUGAACCUCCUUAUUUAGAAAUCCAUUCCCCUUUGGAAAGUUGAAGUUCAAAAGAAAGCUUGUCAGAUCUCCUUGCCUUUCCCGAGAAAAACGCAAAUACCCCGACCCCAAGACUUCAUUCCCCACCAGUGGGGGCUCAGACUUACCUGAAAUCACUCUUAGCUACAAGCUAACGUCAAAAAAUAAAAUAAAUACAAAAUCCAGACUUAGAUAGGGAGACACUUUAAUUAGAAAGAAAGGCUAUUGCAAUAUAGAGAGAGCUCUGAUCUCAGAUAUCUGUAAGCAUCUCAAAGCCAAACAAAAAAAGCCUUGAUACGGUUAAGGGGAAUACGCGGCAAGGGAAAGUUGGGCAGAGGAGAGGAAGUAGACCGAAGGCAUGACUGACCUGCGGGGUUUGACAAGAAUGCGUCUCUGUGGUCCACGGAUUUGGGGAGUAAGCGAACAAGGAAACAUGUUGUGCAUUUUAGUGCUUGCUCAGAUUUGCAGGCAAGCUAACGUUCAGGGUUGGGUGGGGAGGAGAGAAGCCUGACUCAAGUUCAGUCAAGGCAGAGCAGAGAGUAAGAAAGGGGUAUCUGUGAGCACUUGGGUCACUAACUACACACCCAACUAUGAAGGCACAGAGCUAAGAGCAGAGGGAUCACUUUUCUGCAAGGGCUGGGGGGUGGGUGUGUCAGAAGAGUGUUAGAGGGGGAAGUUUGUUGAACUGAGCCUGUAACCAGACCCUCUUUGGCCCCCAAGCAGCCAGAAAGGAGGCAGGAACCCCAGGCAUCCAGCCCCUAGACCCUCUAACACGGAGAGGUCACAGUGAAUCCUCCUUCCCUUGACUUUCUCCAGUGCCUGAAUCUAUGUUUUCCUUGGUUUCCUUCUCCCCGCCUCUGUUCUUAAGCACUGACAUUGCCAAAAGGGAUUACCUAAUGGGUGAAACUCUUUAAAGGCACGCUUAGACAGUGGCCAUUUCCUGGCUCUUCAUUCAGUCCCUGUCUAUGCUUCUCCAGGAUUGAAAUAUACUGAUUAUAUGGAGAUACUAUUCACCAUUUCACCCUUCCUGACGGGCUCCAGGAAACUAGAACCUUCAGGGAAGCCAGUAGGAGUUAAGAAACAACACCCACAGUGGUGCUCUCACUUCUCACUGCUCCCCCCCCCCCUUUCUCAACACUGAAUACAAACAGCUCUCAGCCUUACCUCUCCCUCUUGUUCUUUCCACUCAAGCCAAGAAAACCCCUUCUGAGUUUUCAUCCCCAGUGUUGUCUGAUAUUUUAAGGUCCUUUUCUGGGAAAAAGUAAAGAAAAUUUAUCCAUGUAGAGAUUAGGAAAUUCCCUCCUGGGAUAUAUGAAGAUCUUUGUGAUAUUGGCUCCCAACCUGGAGAAACGUUCCUUUCCAGAUGUCAAAGUCUCAGAACUAAACCCCUUCCCCUCUUGCUUUACUAAGACCCUUUCUCAUCGCCAAGGCUCCUUUAACUACGAGGCACACACCAGUCCCAGAAGAAUAUAUUUGUAGGGGGACCCUUUCCAGUUAAGUAGCCUCUUCUGCUCCAGGAAUGUCUUCCAGAGGUGAUUUUUUUUUUUUUUUCCCCAAACAUCUGCUCUGAUCUUUUCACAGG